UACGGAGGGUGCGAGCGUUGUUCGGAAUCAUUGGGCGUAAAGGGCGCGUAGGUGGCGGGACAAGCGUGCGGUGAAAGCUCGGGGCUCAACCCCGCGUCGGCCGUGCGAACUGUUUUGCUUGAGCACUGUAGAGGCAGGCGGAAUUCCGGGUGUAGCGGUGGAAUGCGUAGAGAUCCGGAAGAACACCGGUGGCGAAGGCGGCCUGCUGGGCAGUAGCUGACACUGAGGCGCGACAGCGUGGGGAGCAAACAGG
rnacentral:rRNA from 1 species